AGAGUCUUCGUGUGCAGUGAACAUUGUUUACCACCAUAGGGACCAAAACGGUUGGGCUGGUCAUCAUUCGUCCUUAGGUAUGGAGUCUCUGUUGUUUUAAAAUGUUUUUGGGGAAAAAAUCAGUGAGAAUACUUGGAUAUGUUUAAAAGGCAAGGACUGAAGUGAUAAUUGAUCAGGAGUGUCCUUGCUCUGACUACAGUAAUGAAGUUUUGUACUUUUUACACCCGCUGAUGUCUCACUUUAUUCUCUUCAACAUGUCAUGCAACAGAAGAGAAGAGUGCCCAGCCUGCACAAAUUUACAAGAAGCUAGAAACAAAACCGAUUAAAGCAACAGCAUGUGAAGAAGAAGGAAGACCAAUUAAUGCUAGAUAUGUCAAACAAUAACAAAAUAUUAUUAAAAUGUGGCGCCUCAGCCGUUGGCACUUCAUCAGCACUUCUCGUGCAAUGACUUUUACUCUUCUAGAUCAAUCAUCACGAGUCAUUGAAUGCUGCUAAAGGCAUUUAACACAAACAGAGGAAGCUAAAACACUUUGUGUGCAAACAGUCAAAUGUUAUCAUAAAUGAAAGACACAUUUGGACUUUGUUUUUACAAUUUCAAUAUAUGCUGACUCACUGUAUUUCUCUGAACAAAGAAAACAAAGACUUUCAACUUUCUAGAUUUAUUUCUCUCCCCUUCUAUUUUAUUUUAAAUGACUCAUAAGUUUCUCUUAAGUAUCAUCCAAAUAAAGCAUUUUCUCUCGUUAUUUGAACAGCUCUAAAUCAAGAAAGUAAUAUAAUUGUAUGUCACUGAAAUGGAUGACUGUGCCAACAAAGCCAUCAAAUCCAGAGGUGAUGUGUCAACAGGGGGCACCAUACCACUAUCAUGCAGUGGAUUUUUAACAGACCCUCUUGAAUUAGCAUGUGGCUGCAUGACUGAGUGUGAGCCCCUCCUAAAUAAACCAAUUUUCAGUCAUGUUUAAUAGAAUGAUUGAGGUUGACAGAGGUGACAGAUUUGGGAUCAUUAUGGCUCCGACUCGUGACUGAUGACUGCUGAGAUGUCAGAAGAGGCCGAUACUUAAUGUGACUUCAUUUUGCUCCCAGCUUGACCUUUACAACUUCCUCUCAAUACUCAUAAUGAUUCAUGGUCCUGAAGCAUGCUGAUGAGAGCUGAGCCCUGAGUGAUGCUGGAGUGAUUGAUGAAUGAGAACCACAGCAGGAUGCUUGUCUGUGUCAUGUCAUAUUUUGAGCCUGCAAAGGACUUGAUGGUGCAGCGUUUUAGACUGAAGAGCACUUUAAUUGUUUGAAGUGAACUCUGGAAGCUGAAACAUGCUGCAACAGAAAAUCUCAAAUGUGCAAGGGGAAAACCUCUCUGCAGAAUGUUAAAUUAAUGAUUGGCUACGAGUCAAUAAAAGGAAAAAUGCAAUUUGGAGAUAUUUGAUAUCUAGCUGCCUCAACUGAACUACUCCAGGCCUGUAGAUGGCGCUAUAGGAGGUGUAUUUACCUUACAGCAUUUUUGUUUGUUUUUGCGUGAAAAAGAGAUAAGUGUUUUCUUUCCCACUGAAUUAAUUCUAUUGAUGUUUGACAAAAAUUGUGUGUGCCACCAAACAUCUUUUUAACAACCCAUCUACUCUCUUCCAGCAGCUGCUCAGCGAGACCAUCCAGACCUCAGGCCAGUCUAUGGACUACAGUGGGGUGACGCAGCAUAAGGAAGAACAUCUAUGAUCAUUACUUUAUCAUUUCCCUGAAGUAAUAAUCACCAUAUUAAUCAUUUUGCAACGCAGACGCGGUAGUUCUUCUACCUUAGUGUCUCGGUCUGAUUGCAUUUCCAUGAAGUAAUGAUCAUAAAUGUUCUUCCUUGAGCUGCAUCACCCCGCAGUAGUGCGUAACGGAUUAGCCUGAGGUCUCGAACAAACAAGCGACUGCUGGCAGAGAGUAGGUGAGUUGUGUUUAGUCUCUUUGCUAAAGAAAUUAGGCAAAGCUAAAAAGAUGUUUGGUGGCUAGUGCUAUGCCUGGGAUGUGUACAGUUGAUGAAGUUAGAUGCUGUUCUGAGCAUUAUUUGUGGCUAUAGAGUGGUGUUUUGGUCGAGGUUUGUUUAUGGCUCUUCAGACUGCUGUGGUCGGCAACAUUCAUCUCUCGAGGGGGUGUCUAACUCGGUGUUAUGGUGUGUUUGACCCUAAAUUGAUUUUACACCAGAAUAUCCCUUUAAUGUACAAAAGCUGCAUGUCUGAUUUGUUUUACUGGUUUCUUUGUUUAAAUGUGUGAGUGUGUGUGGUGUGUGAUUGUUUUGUACACAGUAAUGUCCUGUAUAAGGACAAAAACACAUCUUUGCUUCUUCUGGGCGCCCCCUCUCCUCUCCUUUCCUCACCCUCCCUUCCUCCCCCUCCUCGACUCCCUCCCUCUCCCACCUGGCAUAGCUGUCAGCAGUAUGGCUCUGUGCCUUGGCAUCGAACACACCAUCUCUCUGGCACGUCAUCUGGUAGCAAGAAUGAGGUGUGGGACGAAGCCAACUGGGGCUACUCUGAUCAUUGUGGUCGUCCACUCUACGGAAACCCGGAGGGGGGAUUUUCCACCUGUUCAAUGGGAACCUGAAGUGCACCUCCAGGGGCCACCAUAUGCCAUCCAGAUUCAAGCGCUCCACCCAAAGGUCUGUUAAAGGUGAGUCUUUAUUAGUAGCAUAAAUGAAGUUAUAAUAAAACAUCACAAGAACAGCUAAAUAAUCGUGGUAUACCUACAGAUAAACCAACUUAUUCACCAAACGUGUGAUUGAUAGUCAUUUUUCAUACAGACUCACUAUGCUGGAUUCCCUCCCAUCUGACAGCGUCAAUGUCAAAGCAAGAAAAUAUUAAUACCAGUAUUAUUAACAGUGGUUCUGUUGAGUUCAAGAGUCCCAGGAAGCUUUGACAGAGUGACAGCGUGCUACGAUGCACAAAAGAAGGAGCCUGAAAUUGAAGGCACUGCUUCCUACUGUGACAUGUCAAAAUGUCUUCUGUGAAGAAAUCUCAAGGUGUAAAUAUGCUUCAUAAAGCUGCAGGCAAAAACUUUCCUUACUUUCAAACUGCAGCGAAGGUUCAGAGCCACACAAUUUCAUAUAGUGAGAUCUGUCUGAAUGUGUGAUGUUAGUGCUACCAGAUUUAUGGAAGACAAGCCUCAAUCAUCUCCUAUUUAAGAAUAAAUGAGGCCAGACUCGGUAGAGACUGAUAGAGCUAGUAACGUGUAUUGGAGCCAAGACAUAGGCAGAUUGAUAUGGUGCUAGACUCCCUAAAGUGCACAUUUUAUUUAACAGCAAAGAUCUCUCAGGUACCGUCCAAAGCAUGAUAGGUUCUGGUGCCAGCUUGAAAAAUGUUCGUGUUUUGUUCUUUCUCUCUCAGAGAGCCAGGAAUUUACAUCACAUUCCCUCUCUAUAGCAUAAAAUAAAUGUUUUUCAAGCUCCUUUAUAAUAGAAAUGUCAUCUAACAGAAGAAGGUGAAUUUAAUUGACCAGUAUUUUAGUUUCCAAGCUUGACCCAUGUUUCAUUAUGUUACAGUGAAGGAGGCCAGCACCAUGGUUUUACUGCAGCCGGUCAGAAGGGGGAGCUCUAAAAGGUUGGCUUUACCUUUGGGAAGCUGCCAUGAUGUCCAUCACUCAUCAAGUCUAAGGUAUGUUAUGAUCUGUCUUCUGCUUACCUGGAAAGAGCACUUACUUUUAGUGCAGUUUGACAGCGAUGGUAUUAGUGACUGGACAGUAUCAAUGUCGCUUAUCCCAUCAACACCGACUGUCACCAGAUUCUACAGCAAAAAUGAUAAAUCAUAUUUGAUGUGACCACACCUGUAGACAGAAACUUGAUAUCAUUCAAAGAAAUCAAACUUUUUUUUGACACAAUUUGAAGAAAGACAAAGAGCAGAUUUGCUUUUUCAAUAUAAAAUCCCUUACACAAUUUUUAUUCAGGGCAUUUUACUGUAAGAAAUAACUUGAACAUUUGUCAAAUUUAUCAUGAUAUAACAUACAGAAAACCAAGUUUUUUGCUGGAUCCGUGUGAAAUAGCACAUCUACUACCUGUUUGUCAAUCAGUGUUGUGUCUAUGGGCUCUAGUUUAGCUCAGCAGGGGUCCUAUAAACAGAGGCAACACUCUUUGGCUCAUCCAUCUCUCUUACAUGUUAAACUCUUAAGUCUAACUGAAAUCGCACUAAAUCAGGCUCCUCAUAAUCAGACUAACAUACCUAGAUAACUCUGGUUGGCGUUUCUCUUCCAUGCAUACAGAUAAAUCAGACUGAAACUGGUCUAAGCAUUCUGCACACGCUCCAGUGGUUUCACGCCAGGCUUUGAGCUGGAAGUUGAACAGCAUGGAUGCAUUACUUGGAAGCUGAGCAAAGAAAAAAACCUUGACAGAUGAAGAAAAAAAACACAAAAAUUUGUUAUCAGGAUGGAUUCUCCAAGCUGGCAUGAUGUGGUUUAUGGCAACCCCUCUCCUUUCUCCCCACAUUUCUUGUCUCCCUCAAGCUAUUCCAUAAGAAAGGCAAAAAUGCCCCAAAAUAGUGAUAAAAAAUAUACAGUUUUAUACUUGAAUAAAUCCAGGCAGUUACUGGUUCAUUCAUUAGUUGUGGACCACUAUUCUGAAGUCGUGAGUAAGACCUCUCAGCUGCAGCUGUCUGGUUUUCUGGGGGGUCAUAAGUGACCAUAUUUAGAUGAGAGGGGUUGGACACCAAGGUCAACUGAAGCACUUUAAAUUAAUGGAGGUGACUCCUGGCAGAAGACUAGCGUCACCCACCUGUCUCUGAAAGCAGCCAUGUGUUUAUUAUGCAUCCCUUUGAACCACGGUAUAAUUCCAAUGAGUGAGUUAAAUUAACAACCAGUCAUUUGGUAUGAGCGGGUAACUGAGCUACUGAGACAAACACAUUCUGGUACAAGGCUGUAAAAAUGUUUCACUGUGCUCUGUGUUGGACUUUUAAAAACAGAUCUGUGGGGAUUGACUGCUCUCUGAGCCAGCUUCAUUUGGCAGCACCAGGAUCUGCAGUUUUCACCACUUCUGUGUUGGCUUUAUUUUUCAGCCCUGGAGGCUGCUGCUUGGAUACACAUGGUUAUGGUUUUUACUGUUUCCUCUGGCACGUUAAGUAUUGUCUAGUUUUGUAACCUGUGCAGCGGCAGUUUUGGCACAGAUUUUUCUGGGUCUUUGUUAGUUAAACUUUGUUGCUGUAAAAGCUCAUAUUUCCAAAUCUCAAAUGACUGACCUCAUUCAGAAAAGUUACACAGUAUCAGGAGAAGAAUGAGGUGAAGUAUUAUGUUUAUAAGGGAGCCUCCCUGCAGGGAAUUCAGACCCCAUAAUUCUUCCCUGGAAACUGCGAGUACAAUCUUAUUUUUGGAUCUGCAAAUCUUUUUUUCCAUUUAACCCUCAACCUUGAAACAUUCAUCUGUCAUUAAAUUUUACACUCUGUUGUGUAACUCAGGCAACAAUUUCCUCUAUUGUUAUACCGUUCUAUCUUAUCUAAUCUCACCUCAUCUUACCUUAUCUUAUCUUAUCUUUAAAACAAUGUAAGGAGUUUUGAGAUCAUCUCAAACUGAUCCUACCCUUUUGCUGGACAGUUUUGUCAUGCUAGUGUAUAUCUCGACCAAAAGCCAUUUUCUGGACUUGUCGGGUGACUGUGGCUUAAAUUAAGCUUAAUAAAGUGUUUUCUGUUAGAAAUAAGACAAAACACUUGCAAGGAUUUGAGUUUUUGUUUUGUUGUUGUUGUUGUUGUUUUGAAUAAAGAAACUACAAUCAGUCUUUUCUCAGUAGAAGAGCCAAAAAGAUCAAAAGGAUCUAAUAAUUAUGCUUAUGAAUGCAUCACUUGGUUUUGUGUUUGUUUGAGUUGUUGAGACAUUUUAUUGAGAAACCGGAGUACACACGGUGACAGGUGACAUCAAAUUAGUAUAUCAAGUCAUUAUUUCAGGUUGUUAGAAUGACAAAAAUCUGUCAAAAAUGCAAAAUCAAGUUCUCACUUUUCCUCACGUUGAUCCAGUCUAAAUUUCAACCAUAUGGUGAGGGUUAUCAGAUUCAACACUAACAUACAUUUUGAGCAGAGUUUUAGAAAAAAAAGAUAUCACUCCAGGAUUAUGUAUAAUCUGUUUUGUCUUGGAGCAUUUCCCCUCCAUCUAGUGUUUAUGUCUAUAACCAAAAGUCCCUGCAAUAAUGAAGAAUUUCGACUCCCUAAAUCUGCAAAACUGCUCCUCUGCUCUUCAUAAGAGCCGCCUCAAGCUGGGGGAGUGAGUUUUUUAGUCAAAGGAGGGAUCUUUGUUCUGUGCACAGAAGGAAUAGUAAUGUUCCUAAAAGACUUCAAUACAUCAGAGAAAAUGCGUUUUCCAUCAAGUGACUCUGGCAUCCAGCUUAAAAAGCCAAAUACUCUAUCUUGGGGUUAUGAACAGCUUAAUUGGCAGCAUCACUGCAAGUGUCUCACAAGAUGUCAGCAGUGAAAGAGAGGCUACCGGAGCAAACUCCAGGCAUGGUGACAGUGCAGGGAGAAAGUUUCCAUGAGGCACUCUGGGAGCUCAGAGAGCAGUUGGCUUGAUUUCCUGUCAUCACAGGCACAUAAUUACCUCCGACUCGUGUCAAGUGGCAAAAGAACAAAGAGGAGCUCAGCAGUGAAGGAAAAAUUUAGAUCUGUUUCUGAAGUGAAAACUGAAGAACCACAUUAAAAUCGUUUCCAGUGGAAAGAUUAAGCUUUUACAGGGAGCAAUUAAACGAGAUGUUGUUGAAAAAUAAUCCCACCAUCACCAAACCUAUUUAGUGGGUGAUCAUUUUCUUUGAUCUGUGUUCAGACUAAAACUAAUCAUUUCAAAUGUAAUGACAACUUUGAAAGAAAAAGUGAUUCAGGCUCAGACUAACUACAAACUGUGCCUUUGUGCUGCUGCUCAAAACUUCCCCAGUGUACUCUGAAUUCAGUGCUAGAUUAUAACUGGCUCAUCCAUUCAUCGUUCCCUUCAUCCAUCCAUCCCAUCAGGCAUCUGUCUAUCCGUUUAACAUCCAUUCAUUCAUAAAGUAUGCAUCUGUCCAUGGAUCCAUCUGAUAUUGAUGCAUCCACCUUUCUAUCAGCAUGCAUCCAACCAUUCAUGUAUCCAUCCAUUGCUGAGUUUAUCCAUCAAUCCAUGAAUUUCAUCUAUGCAUCCAUCCAUGCAUUCAUUCAUGCAUCCAUCCAUCCAUGGGUUUAUCUCAACAACCAACCAAACCUUGCUUACCUUCAUCCAUGCAUCCAUCAGUCUGUGUAUUUAUCCAAGCAUCUAUCCAUCCAUCCAUCCACCCAUCUAACCAGUCAUAUAGUAUAGAAAUGCAUUCAUCUGCACAUCUCUUUAUCUGUGUAUCCAUUCAUGCAUUCAUCCAUUCAUCCAACCCUCCAUCCAUUUUAGGAUGAAGGUUAGGCUUGAAGCAAUAGCCAAAUAUUGUCCCUCACUUUGCAGCUGCUUGUAUGAGAUAGCUUAUGCUAACCAGGGGUUAUAGGCCCAGUGCAGCAGUUGCUUACUUUUGGAUUAAACAUAAUCUUUUCCAGACAGCUUUCCUUUUAAUCACCUUACUUAUCUUUGUGUCCCCUUAUUUCUAGCUUCUCUUUGUCUGGCACCAGAUCAGCUUGGCGUAAGCUUUAAAUCAUCAAUAUCAACUCCCCAAAAGUGAGUUUCAGAGUGAGCUUCAACGUUUACAAUACAUCACUGAGUCAUACAUCAUAGACCUGAUUAGAUUUUGCUGCAUGCUGAAGAGCACAUCUGUGUUACAUGUGCGCAUAGUGCAAAAACAAAUGGACUUGCUAAUGGUAGAAUUAAGCGCUGAAAAACAGUCUCAGUGGAAUGUGCAUCCUAAGUGAGAUGAGUGCUUGGGUCAGAGUCCUUUUUAAAAUGAACUACAUCAGGUGCUGGACCCUGCUUUGUCUGCAGGAAACUGUAGCCUAGCUUGUGUUCCAGUUCUGUAUUUAUGCAAAUAUUACACUUUAAAGUCUGUGAUAUUUCCAUUUAGUUUGCCCAGUAUUCUCAUUGCUUAUGGAUCUGAGCCUAAUGCACCUCAUUUGGUGAACAGUAUUAUGCUGUCCGCCCUGAGCAGGUUAACAGUCCAUCACAUGGGUUUACUGAUAUCAACAGACAACUGGCAAAGCUGUGAGUCCAGUACAGCUCCACUACAAACCUUUAUUUCUUGCUCAGUCCUCGUUGCUUACUCAGGAGUUGCUGUGUGUGUAGUUUCAUCUUAACUGAGUGGGGCUACGUUAUGUUUAAUAAUUGAAUUUGAGUGUAAACAGAGUACAUUCACAGGUCUUUAAACGCACUGUGGUCCAGGGAUUCAUUCAUCCUGAAUUAACUAGACUGAUAUGAUCUCAUUUAACAUUCCUGUAUCGUCCAAUCGUAUCAGUGACUUAAUAUUCUCUUAACACAACUUCAAGUGUGAAUAUAUUUCUGCUAUAUUUCACCUUCAAAGCCAGCAACCACUCAUCUCCUGGGAGCGUUUGUCACACCACGCUGCACACACGCCUCGAUUUAUACAGCAGCUGGUGCAGUAAAUGUGCUGUAAUUGCACAGUCACACAUGGAUUCGGGUGUGUUCAUACUAUCACACCAAAUCUAUUCAUCUGCGGUCCAUGUGAUAAUGAUGCCUGCCUGAGCGCCAAGCCAGCCCCUCCUAAUUCCCUCUCAGCCCGUCUGCAUGUUAUUUAAGGGUAUUGUUAUCAUGCCCGCUCACUGACUGCAUAUAAGUAUUUGUCCCAUUGUGCUUUGCCUGAUGACUGGCGGAAAUUCUUUGUGUUACAAUCUGAUUGGGCAUCAGGAGUGAUCUCUGCUGUAAUGACCCGUGCUGGGAGGUGUUACAGGAGCAGAUUUGGAGGCGCUAUCCUGUUAACAAGGAGCCUGCUGAGACAAGCUGCGAGCAACACUGCUCCAAGAUGUGUGAUUUCAUGCAAGGCCUCCCAGCGCUAGACAGUUGGUGAUCUGUAUAUCACUUCCUUUUUUUAUUAUUGUUAUUGAAUCAGACACUGAAGAAAAACUGGAGAGCUAGAACCGAGAAACACACCAAAAAUAACCCUUUUUUUAGUUUCUUUCUCUGUGGCUUGAUACCUUUAAAUGAACUGGCCUACUUUUUAUUUUUUUACACCUCUGAAUGCCUCGCGUUUGUUGAAAAAAAAAGUCUGAAAGUGAGGAUGGCUGUUUGGUUUCAGUUAUUCAUGCUGUAUUGACAGACUUUAACACACUGACCCGUGCAUUAGCCUCAUUGAUUUCUCUGACCCCUCUCCCUCAUAUCCAUUUAAUAUGAGCUACAAUACAGUAGGAUUAACCGUUCUGUUAUUUAGCCUUAUGAACCCCGCAUUCAAGCACCCUAAUUUGCUCACAGGCUCAUGGCUUUGGAAAAUGAUUGUGUUUUGUGUGUGAAUGAAUUCUAACAAAUCCUUGUUAAUCAUUGAUAAUUACUGACUGAAAACAAGUGUAUCUCUCACCAGAUAGGUUCAAAUUGUCCUGUAGCUCAUGGAUUUAACUGUUAAAUCAUUAAAGCAACCAUGUCAGAGUUCAGAUGGGCAUAAUUGAUGAUUGUACUGUCUGUCCCUGCUUUUUACAUUCAGAAAAAGACAGACUAACACCAGAUAAUUUGUAACCCAAACCAGAGAGUCAUGGUCCCCAAGUGAGGGAUCCCAAUUUAUGACCGUAAACUCCAGAAUAUCAAUCUAGCUUGAGUCAAAGCGAUGGGAUUAAGCUUGCAAGCAGCCACAGUGUGCCCCCCACUCCCCACUCUAGCAAGGUUUGUUUCUUAUACAGUAGAGAUGUUUUACAGAAUGGGUGUGUAUGUGGCUUCUGGUACUUUUGCAGCCAGCCUCAAGUGGUCACGUGAGGAACUGCAGUUUUUAGCACUUAGAAAAAAGUCACCACCAAGGUCUCAAGUGUGAAACUUGUGUCUUAUAAACCAGAUUUAAUGGGAAGUGAUUUCUCCCCUUUUCCUCUUGUGGCUGAGGUUGUUUAGUGAAACAUCUCUACAACUAUUGAAUAAAUUUAAGAAAAUCAGAUUAUCAUUUAGGUAUCCAUAUUUCAUUCAGCAAAAUGACUCUGGUUAGUUUUUCAUUGCUGCACCAUGAUCAGUUGAUCAAUGUUAGUUUAGCAUAAUUGUCCUACUGAGAAAUGUAGCUCAGAGCAGUGCUGUGGUUAAAUACAGCUUUAUAAAUCUGCUACCAUGGAAGUGGAUUCUUAAUCAUGUUGAAAGAUGACCAAACUGAACAUUAAUACAACUGUUCUACUUAUACUUAACUGUACCCUUUGAAACAACACUACAUGAUUCAUUUUUAACUGAAGCAAAGACCGAUGUCCGUUUUUCCAAAUGCUCAGCUGCAGAUUUUUUCAUUUCUGAUUUGACUGACGUUAUGAGUUAAUGGAAAUGAAGUUCCCAGUGUAGCAAUGUUUGAAAAUUUGAAUGCAAUUUGCAAAUUCAAAAUGUGAAUUACACCCAUCAUGUACACCUGGAUACUGUUCACAGUUCAGACACAGGUAAUAAAUUUACAGUCCAUGCAAAUGACUGUGCUCUUGCUCCAUGACUGAUACCCAUACAGGAAAAAAAAGUGAGCGUUAUUUCCUCUGAAGAACAAAGCAAGAACUAUCCAUCACUGCAGAAAACAACCCGGUUACCUCUCUGCUCCGUAGGCUGCAUGCAGAGUAAUUCUCACGGGGAUGUAUUCCAGACAUAAUGAGAAAGAAACAUCGGGGUAAACAAAUCGACUUUUUUUUUAGCAGGCGAGCCUAAUUACAGGGCAGGAAUAAAUAACUAUUGGAGAGGAGACAGGCUCACUAGUGUAAUGCAUCGUAAUGGACCAUGGGAAGUUAAUGCGUCAUUUUUCUCCCGAGCCUGACGUGUUGUUGUGGUGUACUCGGUUCAGUCUGAAUUCUCUGAUCCUACAGAUGUUUAGCUGCCAUGCCAAACUGCUCUGACUGGGGUUUAUUGUUUUGCAGCCACUUCUGCAAUAAAUCCGUUUUUAACAUCUUUAGAGAAGCAUCUGUUUACCCCUUGUGUGCCAGAGGUGUAACACGACAGCCAUUUCAGCAACAUGUUCCAUCACAGUGAACUGAAAUAUGCAUGUUAACCCACUGUGAGGGGGGAUUUUAACUGGCUAUGCAACAGCCCCAAUUCAAUAUUGAUGUCUCUAUAUGACCUAAAAAGAGUAAACCAGACCAUCAGUUAAAAUAUUGACAAUUUCUAUAUAGUUAUGAAUUCUUGUCACAGUUGAAACUGGGUCAGACGCCAUAAAGUGAUUUACAGCUGGCAGACUAAAAGAGCCGUUGUUUGCAUUUUCAUGGCAAAGUCACACUGUCGUAUUUUAGCCUCUUUAAUGGAGGAAAAUGAUCAUUUCAAGGCACAAAAAGAUGGGAAAUAACAUUAUACUGUAUAUGUCUGCAGGUGCUGCCAAAAUUAUAAUGUAAAAGAUACUUCCAGCUGCUUUUACAUCCCUGUGAAAGAGAGGAGAAACUGAAGGUAGAUGAGCUUGAGAUCUUUUUUGUGUUUUUAAAGCUCCUUGGAGAUGUCUGUAGUUGAGCACUGAUGCUUUUUCAAGGCCUUCUACAGCAAACAAGACCAUCAUAAAGAAAACUGACCAUUUCUCUGCUGCAGUCUUUAAUGCAUAAAUCUGCUGCUGCUGCUGCAGGGUAGGAAGUAUAGAUUUCUACUAUGCUCCAGAAACAGACUACAGUAUUUCAUAGAACAGUCUAACAUGAUACAUUUACAGUUAAAAGAAAGGAGGGUGAGAUUUUUUGUCAGAGACUCUGCAUACAAAUGAACAAGACAGAAUCAGGAAAGAGAUCAGGUAGUGUCUUUUUCCACAGGGGGCGCCAAAAUCAACCCAACCCAAAAGUUUCUUACAGGAGCUUUAAACAGACAAAAUCUCAAACAUGUCUGACUGAAGUGAAGGACCAUCUCAGAUUAAACAGACAUUUCCUCUUCAAAUAGAAAUCAUAUCAAAGUAUCUGACUAUAUUCCCUCCAAUCUAACCUUGGCUGAGCAAAACCUCUGGAUAAGCCACCUGGCCUCUGGUGUUAUAUUUAUAAGAACCAGACCUGCUGAAAAUGUUUCACGACUUUUUUUGAGCACUGAUGAAAAGCCAGCAGAGCGUGUCAUAAAAAGAUGGGUGCAGAGUAUAUCUUAGGGGCAUCGUACAUCUUAAUCAGCUUUCAGAUCCAGUGAGGACUCUUUAUAAAGUUUUCUCACCAAACUUCAAACCACCUCUUCAACCUGUGUCUUCACUAUGAUUCCCAGAAUGCAUUUCUGUAUUGCACACACAGGAUAGAGGAAUGCAACAGUGCUUGAUACCUCACUUAGGUGUGUCAAAUGCGCAUUACAUUUAGAUAUUUUUGAACUCUGUGUGACUGUUGAUUAAGGUUGGACAUUCUCAGGUUUUUUCUGUGUUAACACGGAUUUAAAGUUAUGUUUUUGGUCUUUUACUGUAUUUAUUUAGAGAGGACAGAGCAUGACAUUGGGAGUGACAUGGGACAAAAGGGUCCUGAGCUGCUUUCUUCAGGCAAAACCUCUACACAAGCAGCACCCUCUGUUUUAACUAACGUGAAAUAAAAACAGAACAAAACAAUGAAAGAGAUCUUCUCUUUUCAUAUAUUCCCUAUUCUCAAUAAGAUAUUCCUGUUCAUACUUGGGUUAACCAAGCUUUAGACUAUCUGUUACUGUUUUUAUUCCUAAUUUUCCAUCAUUCUAAAUACUGCAAGCAGAAAAACAUCUUAUUUAUACACACUAAAGUUGAGAAAUGAGGAAUUUAUCCUGACAGCGGGUAGGUUGUCAAUGUUUGGUAAAGUGAUGAUAUUGCUGGCACUGGCAGCAAUUUAAAGACGCUUUGAAAAACAGCCUCAGAGUUUUUCAUUAAACACUGUUUGAACCACUGACUGUCUAUAGAGUGAGCGAUGCACCUUUAUUUGCAGCAACAGUGAGUUUUGAAGCCAAAAUAAUAUGAACAAUAACAUAUCGCACUGGUAGAGCCAAUAUCGCUGGUGUAGCUGCAGGACUGAUGUCACACCCUUACAGUUACAAUCAUGGCUGUGGAAAGCUCUGUGACUUUUGUGUUAGUGUUUGUGAUGUUUCCUCUCACUGUUCCUCUUUAAGAGGAACUAUUGUAGGAGCCAGAAUUUGUCAGCAGAGCUGCUAAUCUGUAUCCACUUUAACAUAAAAAAAACUCAACAGAACCAAAUAUAUGAGAAUAAUGAACACUUGCAUAAAAAGUAGCAUAAUGAAAACGUAGUUUGUUUGACAGAAAGCACAUUUGAAAAGGAUUUAUUUAAUGUGCAUUUUCAUUAUUGAGUUUGGGCCAUAUUUAAUCACUUAUAAUGGAAGUGUUAUAUUGCAGCCAGUCAGCAGGGGGAGCUCCAACAGUUUUGCUCCACACUCUGACUCUGCACAUGUCGUUCACAGUCUGUAAUUUCAACUUCAAAUAUAAACAGAAAGUCAUAGUCUGCACACCAGGAGCUGCCUCAAUGUGAAUUUAAUGAAAAGCAUCACCACAUGUGAUGAUCAUCAGACAUGUCUGAUGAGGGGAAACGACCCAAAACAAGUUUCUGUCCUGAACUGAGCUAUUGAAGUUUCAGAUGUGCAUGCUACUUCUUUAUUGCUUUUUUUUUUUAAAUUAAAAUACGGCUUCCCUCAGGUUUUCAUUAUUUACUCUUCUCAGUUGUUCAUCAUUUGAGAAGCAAUUUCCAACGUUUCUGCAUUUAACAAACUUGAAACUCAGGGAUGUGGCACCAUCUGAGCCUUCCACUCUUGGAAUGAUGACAGAAUAAUAAAAAUAAUAACUUUAUUUUUAUAGAGCCUUUAAAAACAGACGUUUACAGAGUGUUUAGACAGACAAAGCAAAGGCAGGCACUCAGGAAGAUAACAGAGUAAAUAUUUAAUAGUCAGGGCAAACAGAAAGAAGUUAAAGAUGACAAAAGGUAAGAGAAAAAUGCGACACGAAAGGUAAAUGAGUAUAAACACAAAUAAAAAGAUUAAAUGUGAUAGAACAGAAAGCUCUGGAAAGGCAGUUAAAGCAAUGGAGCGAUACAAAUAAAGAGAUCAAUAAGAGAAGAGAGGCAAUGAGCCACAGAACGAUCAUAAGAGGACAACAUCACAUCAGCAGAAAUCAAAACAGAAAAAAAGAUCUGAAGCAUUGAGAAAAAAAGAGGAUAAACAAAAGAAAUAAAAAUGUAAGAAAUAAAAGGCAGUGAGAUUAUGAAAUCCUUAAAAGACAGAGGAACAGAUGAAGAGAUUAAGAGCAGCAAAACGGAUGAAUGAAAAGAGAAAUUAUGAAUGCAUUUAAAAAGGUGAACUCUCAUAAAAGCAGGUCUGCAAAAGUGAGUUUUAAGAUGGCUGAUUUUGCAUGUUUUAUCUCUUAUCUCAGGCACAUAAAGCCCACAGCCAAGGGACCCUGACAGCAUUAUCAGAGCUCCCUUUAGAUUUAAGGUUCUGACUUUGGGACAGCCAUAUCAGCGUCGUAUAAAGAUGUGAUGUUUUGAGACAGCUGACAGAGGACGAUGACUGUUGUGAGAAAGAAGUGAGUUUGCAGUUCUCCCCACAUCUUGUAUUUGUUAAACCAGGUUUUAUAACUGCAGAAAACCCAUCAGCAAACAAUAAGAUUCAAGGACCAACCCUGACGUUCUCACUGGGUCAUUUGUUUGCACUUUCACCGGUCAUAUGAUUCACAAAUACAGGAAAAACACAAAGGCAUGUUUAGACAGUGACUGUUGUCCCCUCUCUGUCUCCCCCCCUCACUUCGGUCAGAGCAUGGAUGCUCUUCUUGACAGAUGAGGUGGAGAAGGGGGAAAAAAAACCCAAACUGAAUAUUCCUCUCUCUGUAAUCGUUUCAAUCUGCUCUGCCAGAACAGAUUGUGGUCUUUUGCUUCCCUGUUGGAGGCCUGUGUACAUCUCCUCCCUCUCGUUCUUAUUCUCCCUCUCCCUCUCCAUUUUUUCCCAUUAUUGCAAUAUGGCACUCUCCAUUUCAUUGUCAGUCUGGGCACAAGGCUGUAGUGUGGACUCCAUAUAUUAUGCCCAAAGCCUACUGACCACCUCCCUGGUGGAGGUGUAUGAUCAUCCAUCAUGGAUAAAACAUUACAGUGCCCCCAUUUGUCUACAAGUGGGCAGGGGAGGGAAAGGAAAUAUGUUAGUAAAAUUGCCCACCUAGUAUCAAAAUGAAACUCUUAAGGAUACCUCUACCCUAUUUUUCUGGGCAAAUUGAAUGCAUUUUUCUGGACUGAGGGAGCGUGGAGCAUGCAAGAUUAGGUGCUUCUUUUUAUUUCGUAUUUUCCAGUGAUCCCCCAGCCCCGUUUAAAGACCCACAGUCAGUGUUGAUUGAGAGAGCCCUCAUAAGUGGCCACGGCAAUUCCAACAACAACAACAGUCGACCUCCUCUGGCAGGAAGAAGGCCCUUAACCACAAGAGCCGGGGCUGGAGGAGGAGGGGGGAGGAGGUGGGAGGUGAGCCAGGAGGAAGGCAGCUUGCGGUCAUACAUCUUGGGAAGGCUGCAUGUGUUGCCCAGACAGCCCCUUAAGUGACUUCACCUCAUCUCAAUGGUGCUCAUUACGUGCCAUAGAAAGCCAUCCAUUCAGGGCGGCAGUAUAAAACAAACCGAGCCCAUCUGGAGAGAGCACACGAGGAUGUCAACACAGGCUUAGGAAAUUGAUUGGGUUGUGUAGGAUGCUGUGAAUGAUAGGGGGUUAUUGUACAUCUCAUUAUUUAUUGGCAGCCUUACAUUUUUACACGCUCAACUCCAUAGUGUCACAAUUACGGCUGCAUAUUUUCAAUCUCAGUGUAUCAACAAGGUUCCCACACAGUCUCUUAAACUAUCCUCAGAGCCAGAAACGAUGCACCCACAGUCGGCUUUUUAGAAAGUUUUCCAACAGCUAUAAUUCAGAUUGGCAUCAUGGCAAAGUCCACACAGUUUUUGCUUUCUCUCUCCCUCUCUCUCUCUCUCAGUCAGUCAGGAAGUGGACUAAAAUCUUUACUUUGAAUGCUGAAGUUUAAAACCACUGAAACAAUUUUCUUUUAAUCAACAUACCAACAAUUUGACAUCACACAGGAAAGCAGCAGAUGAAAUUAGACCGACCAUUUUCAUUCAUCAGACGUCAGGCUGGGUAUGCUGUUAAAAUGUCAGUGCAUUUUGUUCCAGGUAGUUAAUCAUGUAAAUUUAAGUGGUUAGACCAGUAUUGUGGCUGAGUCACUCAAGUCCAGGUCCAAGUUGAGUCAUCAGAGAAGAAUCUGAGUCGAGUUCCCAUUGCCUGAGGUUUUAAAAUAGAAAAGCGUUGCUUUACGCCACACUUUUCACUCAAUGAACCAUGACUGACUUUUAUCAUCAUCGAAUUCUGAGUGAUCCUGUUGUUGUGUCAGAAAAUUGAAGUUGAAUGGAUGUGAAUGGAAAACUCACCAAUGGCCUGGUGGUCUAAGCACCCCAUGUAUAAAGGCAAUAGUCUUUGGAGCGGCACAUGACCUCAUAAACUUUACUAAUUGAUGCAAUUCACUUACAUAUCCUUAUUUAACUGUAAUAAUAUUACAAUCUGCCCCAUAACUGAAACUUCUUUGGAGAGGACAUUGCCUCUUUAUGGAUUGUCUGUCAUACUUUUAUUAAGAUUUUUUUUUUCUUGCUUUUAUGUCGCCUCAUAUCUGCAUUAUCAAACUAUGCUUUUAUUUUGAAGUUUGGUGGAUUUUAAAAUCCAGAACUGAAAGAAGACUGUUUAAAGAGCGGUUAGAUCAUAUCAAUGGCCGAUUGAUUUGUAACCCCAGGAGAUACAAGCUCUAACCUUGUUUUUGAAUUCACAAUAAAACCUGAACAUCGGUUUAUAAAAGAAGGUUGUUUCAGCUAGCCUGUUGCAGUCUACUACUUCUUCUUCAUCUAUCCUAGGUCUUAUCAUGCAUUGCAACCAGCAUAAAAGACUAUUUUUAUGAACUCAUGUUAUUACAGUAAGCUUAUUUAUCAUCAAUACUGGUAUAUAGUGACAACCCUAGCUGCUAACUCUACUGUUAGCAUACUAGCAGUAUCUGCUACAGUCUGAGUUUGUUGUGGUAUUCGCUUCAAUGUUUCAUUUGUAUAGUUUAACAUAUCAAACAUACUGAACUUCUCAUCCUUGUACGUUCUUAAAUCUCUGAAGGCAAAACUCACGACUGUCACCUUUGCUGGCAGCUUAGCAGGAACCUGACAGCAGCUCUCAAUAGAUUUAUCCAAGUGUCCAAAUGCUGUCAAUUUACAUGUCCAGAUGGACUCAUAGUUAUUAAAGAAUCAGGCCUCAGGUUGGGCUAAAGUACCAAAGCACUAGUUGAUGCAUAUCCUUUUUUCUCAGUUGAGUAACAUCAACAUGAACAAGAGUGAAUAUCUGAAGGAGCAUUUGAUCUUAGCUCCAGUUAAAUCCUUUGAAAGUCAGUUAUCUACAUUUGAGCAGCUAACUUAAGCUUUUAACCACAAAAUUAGCAAUGAGGCAGUUUUGUGAACAGUCUAGUUCUGUUGCAAAAUAAAAAAAAAGAGGAACAAUUUCCUGGUCAAUAUUUUUAGGACUAAACAUAGAAUAAGACAAUCAGCCAUUGAGUUCUCCACUCUGAGUGUGCAGUCAGAGUAAAGAGGCCUCUGUGAAUGUAGUCAGCUGAUGCAGAGAGAGAUUCUCUUUGCAACCAGAUGCCAAACACUUGUUAGCGUUUUCUUGAAAAUGAAAUAACAACAUUGGUUAUUCACCACCAGUACUUCCAAAAAAGUUGCUAAAGGUUGUUUUGAAAAUGCAUCCGUUAAAUUUUCUUAAUGCGUUUUAUCAGAUACCAAAAGCAGAUUAAAUCAGACCCACAAUGGCUGUCACAUUUUUGAGCUUAAAGGAUUAUUCAGUCUUGUCAACAUGUGGCCACGUCUUUGUUUAAUUAGAGCUCUGCUGACGUUAGAAAAGCCAAAAAAGAAAAAAAAGGGGGCUGGGUUGAACCAGUCUGCAGAGCAGGUGUCCUAGUUGCAGAGGUAAAGUCCUUCUUUCACUGGAUUUUAGUUUGACUGCUGCUCUUUAACCAUUUGGUGCAUGUCGUAUCAAAGCAAAGAUAAACACACCAACAGUACGACUCAUUUUUCAAAGCCUCUAAUUUGAAACACUUAAUUUUGUCACUGUGUUGCAUAUUUUGUAUUUCAAAUUGCAGGCACAGAUCUUACAAAGUCUUUAAAUAUUUGCUCAUAAAUCAAGUGUCUCCACAGUUGGCCUCUUGGAAAGUAUUUCAAUGGAUGUUACUCAAAGCAGGGCACCAUGGCAAAGUCCACGCAGCAUUGAGUAUUCAUUUUGAAGCCCGUGUUUACGUUGCUUGGCUUGGUAGCCUAGCGCCUCGGAGCAGCGGGCUCCUGCUGAGAUGAAGCUGCUGCUUUCACAAGAUGGAGUCAAACACAGAAGAGGAGGCGAGAACAUAGGGAGCGAAAACGGGCAGAAAACUCUUGAAGCUGCAUUAUCUUCCACUUUCAAAUUCAUUUAAAAUGCCAGGUUUGACAAAUUACACCUUUCCUCCGCCUAAUAUCUCCCUGUAACUGCCUUUUUUUUCUUCCACACAUUACUAUUUAAUGUACAUGUGCAGCUUUUUGAGUGCAGGAAGUGUCCAGCUAAUGAAGCAGAGCUGGAGUCACUCACGCCUGCCUGUGGAAUCAGCACGGACACUGAAUUGCACCAUGUGAACUGCAGCAGGGUGAACAGACUCAGCCAACCAAGAGCUACCGGCCUUAAUCGCUGUGAUUUAAAUUUCUGUUCCUUUCAUUAGGAAGCAUUGACAUUUUAAGCACACCUGUACGCUGCUGUCACUGAAUAACCUUUAAGAAGAAGAGAGAUGUGUCGCUCUUCUGAGGAGACAAAAGCCCAGAAGGAAAUUUACACUGACACACUCAGUCUUCUGUUGUGUACCUUAUAAUUCAAACCAACUGAAAAAGAAAAACUAAAAAACAAAAGAAAGUAUAAAAGAGAGUAUGUUCAGACUGUUUGUGCACCAUGCUCAACACUUUCAUCUUCAUGUUUCUGUUUAAAUUCAACAUUUAUUGUAAGGUGUUUUCAAGUUUUUGAUGUGCCUUCAGACAAGCUCUCAUUCAUGUGGUUUCUUAAAAAAAAAGCAUCUCAAGUUUUUAACCACAUUGUGUACCAUGAAUUGAGCUGUUAGGGACCCCAAAGGCGAAUAGAGGUGUAUAAAACAUGUGCUGCUCAUAAGAAGAGUCCUUAACUGGAUGAAACUAAAUUAAAAAUGCAUAUUAGUUUCUGCGCCAUUUAGUCAUGCGUAUGAGAUGUACUCACAGGUUUCACAUCCUUUCUGGUUACUUCCAGCCCACAGUUCUGCUCCUUCUGUUAAUGCAAUUCAGCACAUGUGUCCAUAUUUCCAUACCAUGCUUGAGUAUGUGGUUUUAAUUUGUGGGAACAUAUGUUUUCAUUAUGGCAAUUGGUGUAUGAAAUAAUGUUGCUUUUUUUUUUUUUUUUCCCAGAAAUGCACCUGCAGUUGGGCAUAAGGAGAUCGGGCCUCUUUGGAGUUAAUGUUGCCUUCAAAAGGACAUCAAAGUGAUGAUUUCCAGACUUCCACGAGCUGAACUUUACUGAAAUCUACACUGAUGUGUGUUUUUUUUACAAGUUACACAACUGCUACAACUGUGUGGCCUCCAGACCAUCAACUCUAAACAGUGAUUCAUAAUUCCUGUUAACGCUGGCACACAGUUGGAUUUAGUGUAUUAAGCAUUCUGACCAAAGCAAGUUUGAUGAAAGUAUUGUUUUCUGCUUUUUCUAGCAGCUGCCUUUCAUCAUAGUAUGUAAGGGAUAAUGGGCAGUGACAAGGUUGUUUUAGUUGCUUGAAUCCCGAAAAGGUCUGAAAGGGUUCCUCUAUCAGAUCAGCCAGUUCACUUUACAUCCUGUUAAUAACACUGCUACAUAAAAUCAAAACAUUAAUACCAAAUGUUGAUGUGGAAAUAAUUUAGUCAAUUUCAAAAUGGUUCCAAGUUGUCUGUUACACUCACAUUUUGGGCUCCAUCCAUUUUAAGUGUUAAUUCAACAGCCCUCAGAAAAUGAGCUAACAUUUAUGUUAUUACCAACCUGAAACUGAAUAUUUGCACUGAUGGUGAAGAGAAACAAGGUGAGCAGGAUCACAUGAGUCAGUGCCACACCUGAUGGAGUUUUCCUGGCUCAUCACAGUCAUAGUCAGCAUUUCUUUUCCAUUUAUCAUACCUUCAAACGCCUCCCAUAGC
rnacentral:lncRNA from 1 species